rnacentral:rRNA from 1 species
CAGGCUUAACACAUGCAAGUCGAGGGGCAGCAUGGUCUUAGCUUGCUAAGGCCGAUGGCGACCGGCGCACGGGUGAGUAACACGUAUCCAACCUGCCGUCUACUCUUGGACAGCCUUCUGAAAGGAAGAUUAAUACAAGAUGGCAUCAUGAGUCCGCAUGUUCACAUGAUUAAAGGUAUUCCGGUAGACGAUGGGGAUGCGUUCCAUUAGAUAGUAGGCGGGGUAACGGCCCACCUAGUCUUCGAUGGAUAGGGGUUCUGAGAGGAAGGUCCCCCACAUUGGAACUGAGACACGGUCCAAACUCCUACGGGAGGCAGCAGUGAGGAAUAUUGGUCAAUGGGCGAGAGCCUGAACCAGCCAAGUAGCGUGAAGGAUGACUGCCCUAUGGGUUGUAAACUUCUUUUAUAAAGGAAUAAAGUCGGGUAUGGAUACCCGUUUGCAUGUACUUUAUGAAUAAGGAUCGGCUAACUCCGUGCCAGCAGCCGCGGUAAUACGGAGGAUCCGAGCGUUAUCCGGAUUUAUUGGGUUUAAAGGGAGCGUAGAUGGAUGUUUAAGUCAGUUGUGAAAGUUUGCGGCUCAACCGUAAAAUUGCAGUUGAUACUGGAUAUCUUGAGUGCAGUUGAGGCAGGCGGAAUUCGUGGUGUAGCGGUGAAAUGCUUAGAUAUCACGAAGAACUCCGAUUGCGAAGGCAGCCUGCUAAGCUGCAACUGACAUUGAGGCUCGAAAGUGUGGGUAUCAAACAGGAUUAGAUACCCUGGUAGUUCACACGGUAAACGAUGAAUACUCGCUGUUUGCGAUAUACAGCAAGCGGCCAAGCGAAAGCGUUAAGUAUUCCACCUGGGGAGUACGCCGGCAACGGUGAAACUCAAAGGAAUUGACGGGGGCCCGCACAAGCGGAGGAACAUGUGGUUUAAUUCGAUGAUACGCGAGGAACCUUACCCGGGCUUAAAUUGCAGAUGAAUUAUGGUGAAAGCCGUAAGCCGCAAGGCAUCUGUGAAGGUGCUGCAUGGUUGUCGUCAGCUCGUGCCGUGAGGUGUCGGCUUAAGUGCCAUAACGAGCGCAACCCUUGUUGUCAGUUACUAACAGGUUCCGAUGAGGACUCUGACAAGACUGCCAUCGUAAGAUGUGAGGAAGGUGGGGAUGACGUCAAAUCAGCACGGCCCUUACGUCUGGGGCUACACACGUGUUACAAUGGGGGGUACAGAGGGCCGCUACCACGCGAGUGGAUGCCAAUCCCCAAAACCUCUCUCAGUUCGGACUGGAGUCUGCAACCCGACUCCACGAAGCUGGAUUCGCUAGUAAUCGCGCAUCAGCCACGGCGCGGUGAAUACGUUCCCGGGCCUUGUACACCCCGCCCGUCAAGCCAUGGGAGCCGGGGGUACCUGAAGUGCGUAACCGAGAGGAGCGCCCUAGGGUAAAACUGGUGAC